rnacentral:rRNA from 1 species
UGCUCAGAUUGAACGCUGGCGGCAGGCCUAACACAUGCAAGUCGAGCGGAUGACGGGAGCUUGCUCCUUGAUUCAGCGGCGGACGGGUGAGUAAUGCCUAGGAAUCUGCCUGGUAGUGGGGGACAACGUUUCGAAAGGAACGCUAAUACCGCAUACGUCCUACGGGAGAAAGCAGGGGACCUUCGGGCCUUGCGCUAUCAGAUGAGCCUAGGUCGGAUUAGCUAGUUGGUGGGGUAAUGGCUCACCAAGGCGACGAUCCGUAACUGGUCUGAGAGGAUGAUCAGUCACACUGGAACUGAGACACGGUCCAGACUCCUACGGGAGGCAGCAGUGGGGAAUAUUGGACAAUGGGCGAAAGCCUGAUCCAGCCAUGCCGCGUGUGUGAAGAAGGUCUUCGGAUUGUAAAGCACUUUAAGUUGGGAGGAAGGGCAGUAAGUUAAUACCUUGCUGUUUGACGUUACCGACAGAA